UACAGAGGUCCCAAGCGUUGUUCGGAUUCACUGGGCGUAAAGGGUGCGUAGGCGGUCGGGUAAGUCUGACGUGAAAUCUCCAAGCUCAACUUGGAAAUGGCGUCGGAUACUAUUCGGCUUGAGGAUUGGAGGGGAGACUGGAAUUCUCGGUGUAGCAGUGAAAUGCGUAGAUAUCGAGAGGAACACCAGUGGCGAAGGCGAGUCUCUGGACAAUUCCUGACGCUGAGGCACGAAGGUCAGGGGAGCAAACGGG
rnacentral:rRNA from 1 species